UACGGGGGGGGCAAGCGUUGUUCGGAAUUACUGGGCGUAAAGGGCUCGUAGGUGGCCAACUAAGUCAGACGUGAAAUCCCUCGGCUUAACCGGGGAACUGCGUCUGAUACUGGAUGGCUUGAGUUCGGGAGAGGGAUGCGGAAUUCCCAGUGUAGCGGUGAAAUGCGUAGAUAUUGGGAGGAACACCAGUGGCGAAGGCGGCUCACUGGACCGGUACUGACGCUGAUGCGCGAAAGCGUGGGGAGCAAACGGG
rnacentral:rRNA from 1 species